rnacentral:rRNA from 1 species
AUGAACGCUGGCGGCGUGCCUAACACAUGCAAGUCGAACGGAGUCGUUUUGGAAAUCUCUUCGGAGAUGGAAUUCUCGACUUAGUGGCGGACGGGUGAGUAACGCGUGAGCAAUCUGCCUUUAAGAGGGGGAUAACAGUCGGAAACGGCUGCUAAUACCGCAUAAAGCAUUAAAUUCGCAUGUUUUUGAUGCCAAAGGAGCAAUCCGCUUUUAGAUGAGCUCGCGUCUGAUUAGCUAGUUGGCGGGGUAACGGCCCACCAAGGCGACGAUCAGUAGCCGGACUGAGAGGUUGAACGGCCACAUUGGGACUGAGACACGGCCCAGACUCCUACGGGAGGCAGCAGUGGGGAAUAUUGCGCAAUGGGGGAAACCCUGACGCAGCAACGCCGCGUGAUUGAAGAAGGCCUUCGGGUUGUAAAGAUCUUUAAUCAGGGACGAAACAAAUGACGGUACCUGAAGAAUAAGCUCCGGCUAACUACGU